UUUUAUUUGAGAGUUUGAUCCUGGCUCAGGAUGAACGCUGGCGGCGUGCCUAACACAUGCAAGUUGAGCGAUUUACUUCGGUAAAGAGCGGCGGACGGGUGAGUAACGCGUGGGUAACCUACCCUGUACACACGGAUAACAUACCGAAAGGUAUGCUAAUACGGGAUAAUAUAUUUGAGAGGCAUCUCUUAAAUAUCAAAGGUGAGCCAGUACAGGAUGGACCCGCGUCUGAUUAGCUAGUUGGUAAGGUAACGGCUUACCAAGGCGACGAUCAGUAGCCGACCUGAGAGGGUGAUCGGCCACAUUGGAACUGAGACACGGUCCAAACUCCUACGGGAGGCAGCAGUGGGGA
rnacentral:rRNA from 1 species